AGUGAACGCUGGCGGUAGGCCUAACACAUGCAAGUCGAACGGCAGCACAGUAAGAGCUUGCUCUUACGGGUGGCGAGUGGCGGACGGGUGAGGAAUACAUCGGAAUCUACUUUUUCGUGGGGGAUAACGUAGGGAAACUUGCGCUAAUACCGCAUACGACCUACGGGUGAAAGCAGGGGAUCUUCGGACCUUGCGCGAUUGAAUGAGCCGAUGUCGGAUUAGCUAGUUGGCGGGGUAAAGGCCCACCAAGGCGACGAUCCGUAGCUGGUCUGAGAGGAUGAUCAGCCACACUGGAACUGAGACACGGUCCAGACUCCUACGGGAGGCAGCAGUGGGGAAUAUUGGACAAAGGGCGCAAGCCUGAUCCAGCCAUACCGCGUGGGUGAAGAAGGCCUUCGGGUUGUAAAGCCCUUUUGUUGGGAAAGAAAAGCAGCAGGUUAAUACCCCGCUGUUCUGACGGUACCCAAAGAAUAAGCACCGGCUAACUUCGUG
rnacentral:rRNA from 1 species